AAUUAUUCCUUCUGCAUUCAGUCCACAACCAAGACCCUAUAAAUAGUGGAGCUACCCUAAUUUCCUCUUGUGACAUUCCAAAUCCAUUCUCCUCUUCAUUGUGCUCCCUUCCAAUAAUCGUCUGAACCUUAAGCUCCUUCUGCUUUUCCUUUGUAUAUUUUUUCACUUGCACCUUUUCUUCUCUUAUCGCUCCAAAUCACACAAGAGAAUUUCCUACUUGAAAGUAUAAAUCUCUCCUAUUUUGUACUUUUCUUUCCAUUUUAGCUCCUGAUCUGGUUAUAUCUAUCCUAGGAUGGAAAGGCCUAUCCAUUGUGAUGUGACUUGGACAGAGAUUUGAUACUACAGAACCAACAUCACUUACUAUCUACUAAGGUAUGCCAAGGGUGGCUUGGAAGGGCGUGCUGCAUUCGGGUCCCAACAGACUUAUAUCUUUUCUGACUUGAUAAUAUCUUGGUUUAUUCUAAGAGUGAGGCCAAUCAUGUGGAGCAUUUGCCGAUUCUUCUUCAGAGAUUUAGGAAUGAGAAGUUGUAUGCUAAGUUCUCAAAGCAUGAGUUUUGGUUGGAGACUGUCUUUUUCUUGGAUCAUGUGGUGCCAAAGAACGGUAUUAUGGUUAAUCCAUUCAAGAUUGCAGUGGUUCGUGAUUGGGAUAGGCCUACUUCGUCCACUGAGAUUUAGAGUUUUGUUGGCUUGAUAGGUUACUACUGAUGUUUUGUUGUGGUUUUCUCAUAUAUUGCAGCUCCGUUGACCAAGAUCACUCAAAAUACGGUUUCUUUUCAGUGGCUCGAUGCUUGUGAGAUCCUAGUUCGAGUAUGCCUUAUGGUGGUUGACUUUGGGCAGUACUUUGGUGCUAUUUGAGGUAGCUGUUGAAUUCUUUCUUCCGGAGUCAACAACUACCUUUCUUUAUUUAGACUAUCUUUAUUUUUGCAUUCAAAGAUAGAGUUGUUCCUGUUUUGGAUAUCUUAUGUAUUUUGAUCUCGAG